UGAUGCUAUCAUGCAUCUCCUGGAUUUAUGACAUCUUGGCAUUAAUCCUCACUGGAUUUCUUUGCUGGCUAUAUCCUGAUGUCUCAGAUAUGAUUUAUGCCUUUACUGACAAGUCUAUCAGUAGGCAGUUUACCCCAUUAAAACAUUACUAUCCCUCAGAGAAGCCCCCUGUUCUCAAUAUUUAUAAGUGGAUUUGAUCUAGAGAUUCCCAAACCCUGCCCUUUCAAAGAAUACACCAACUUCCAUCUGCAAACAGCAAAAGCCACUGGGGUGGUAUGACAAUCUCGCAUGCCAUCCUACUGCAUCCCUUCUCAAAGGUUAACUGGGAGUAAGAGACCCUCUCCCUUAACCACUGUGUGAUUUCACCAAGGGUGUUAGAAGUUUAUUGCAGUCUUUUCCACAGACAACAGCAUUUCAGCGAGGGGAUGCUCUGGAAUGUCAUAUUCUAGUUUCAAGAGCAUCCAAAUGCCCUUCAGAAAUGCCUCCAGUAGUGUGUUUAUUGCCUUUCUUUUUUUCAUUCCCUAAGUUAAAAGCUGUUCUUUGUCAGGCUGUUUUCUUCUUCAUGUAUUUUAUAUGAUCAGCUCUCAAUAAGUGCAUCAUUUAAGCUUUAGGAUGAAACCUGGAAAUAGCACUCAGACCCCUGGAGAGUUCAUUCCUACAAACAAUGCUUUCAAACCAUUCUGCCUGAUUGCACCCCGAUACUGAAUGAUUCGAGAGAGGAAUCCUUAUUCACUUCUGAUGCUCUUUUGGUAAGAGCAAUGACAGAUUAGCACAGAGGAGGAGCAGGCUGUUUGGCUUUUCUUAUUUAUUUAUUUGGGUGGUUUUAUCCCAUUUUCCACCUCAGUCUUCACCUAAUUCUCAGCUAUGUUAGCUCAAGCUAAGAAGUAACUACUCUGAUUUCAAGUGAGAUGGGGUUUACUCAGCUGGUUACCUGCUUUGUUCAAUUACUAAUGUUGAAGCACUAUUGAUUUCACUUCCCUGAGCUUAGUCACAAACAAGUGCUGAAAAAUGGAAGUGGCAAGCAAAGGAACAAGAAAACAGCAUCUGCUUCCAACAUGGUUCAGUCAUCUAAAAUCCAAGUGGCCCAUGAAUAAUGUUAACCUGUGAAAAGUCAUUCCCACAGAAGUUCUUUUUCCCUUCUCAAAUUCCUCUAGUUACUUUCACUCAACAUAAUUUUACUUUCCCAGUUCAAGGAUUAUGUGUUUUGGGGUAACGGCUUUGGGCAAAUGGUACCUUUACAUGAGCUGCCUGUAAUCUAGGAAGCUCUUUGAGAUUUGGUACAUAGAUAUUGCACUGAAAUCCUUACAUGAAAAACAAGUUACAAAACCAAAGUAAUGCAUUAGCCCAGCCCUCAUUCUCAAACAUGGUCUUCUCCCCUCAAUCCCAAAAUCUACUUUACUGGCUACAGUCUCAGGCAGUCCAAAAUCUUAGAUGACCACUUGCUUCCAAAGAAUUAAGCAAAGAAAAUACCUCUUAAGACAUUUACCUUCAUGAGGUCUCCCCACCCCAGCCCUAAACCACCCCACAGUUUAGAUAUUCCACACAAAAUCCUCCAGGACCCUAAAGUACCCUCCAACAUGGUGUCUCUGCUCUGGGAUACACUUACUACUGCCCAAACCCACCAUGUCCAGGUGGGACUCCAGCAGCAGCUGUGUUAGAGCUCAGCUUUGGCCUUGGGUAGGCCUUUUAAAGAGAUUUGUACUAAAACCCCACCCAGAGCACAGCCUAUAAACGAAAAGUGACCAGGUGAAGGAAAAAUCUUUGCGGAAGUGGCCAUGUACAGAUCAAUAGGGUUUGACCAUGCUAUCAAGGGGAACCCAGAUCCUCUAGUGAUGCACUGCAGAAAACACUGCAAGUAAAAGCAAUCCCUUAAACAGAAACCCUGCUGGCAAUGGUGCCAGGUCUUAGUGAUAUUUGACCUUGGGCUUGAUUCAGGUUUUGUCACAGGUCCCUUCCCUGGGCAACAGGCUAGGCCAAAGCAAUGAGACCUGGGUAUGAACUUUGUCAUUUGAGCCCUACUCUGACAUUGCCGUGCUAAUUAAUGCAUAAGGUAAAAAUAAUAUGUCAAACCAACAGUAUCUUAAAUGAGUAUCAAAACCCUUCAGCAAGACCAGGUCCCUAAAAAUCAUGACAUUUCCUUCCCCCUUCAGUGUCUCCUGCAUAAAUACCCCCUUUUAGUAGACAGAAACUAUGAUGUAAUGCAAUCAAAUAAGCCUGACUUUUCUUUCUCUGCAGGGCACACAGUUGAGGCCAGGUACCCCUUUCUCCUUUGUACCCUCUUGCCCAAUGGCCAGCCAGAAGUAUUGAGCAGUGAGGGAGGAAGGAAAGAGAUAAAAGAGAUGUCUGCAAGUGAAACAGUGAGCACCACAGGAGUGACCACAAAGAAGCUGCCUGGGGUCCAAUUCAGGUACGUCCUUCUGGGGAGAAAAUAAAUGGUUGCUGUGCUGCCUGGCUGUGAUAUGAGGAACUUACAUGUUGCCAAAGCCAUUUUUUAUCUCAUUGGAAAUACUGACAUGUGUUGGGAAUUCCAGAUUGUAAGUAUUGGGAAAUUAUGUUUUCUCAGCAAAGAGAGCAUCAGGACAAGAAAGGAAUGCUUUGCCAUUUCUCCGCAGCACUGUGCUUCAAUCCUCAGUGGGGAAACCAUGGAGUCAGGUAGCUCAGGAGCCAACCUCAGGGGUGAAAGUGAAAUCCCAUCUAAAGGCCCCAUGCCAUCAUGGAAGACAAAGAGAAGACAUUUGUUCCAUGACACAACAUAGUCUUAGGUGCCAAGGCACCUAAACAAAGCAAUUGAGGAAGCCCAUGCUAUGUAUGAGGCUCUGCACAGCUGGAGUUAGGAAGCACUAUUACAGCCACAUUGUCAUACACGAACCCUAAAUUAAGAUGGAGGAAUUCACCAUGCACACAAGUACCUAAGACAAAUGAGCUACAUGCCUGAUGUCAACUGGCCUUGCAAGUAACAGGUACUUUAAUUCAGUUAUCAGCGCCUGAAAACCCGAAUCAAAGUCUCUGUGGAUGAAAAACAGGGCAAUUGACUGACAUAAAAAUCCUUAACUUUCUAAGCCAAGAUGUCCCUCUAGAGCUGAAACAAAUAUAGACAUCAUUGCCAUGAUAACGAGACUAAUCUUUCUUUUCAUGGACAUGAGGUACCCAACUAAACAAGAUAUUAGUAGCAGUAAUUACAUGACUUAAAUAAACUAACUGUAUGUAUUAAGUGUAUUUCAGCUAAAUGCACUGAUUUUCAGUCAUACCACUGGUGAUAAUAGUAACAGUUAACAAAUCAGAAGCAUUGUUUCAUGUCCUAAGUAGCUUUAGAAGCACUAAGGAAUAAAGGUUUUGUUAAUAAAGAGUGGUGAAUAAACACAAAUCACAUAAGGAUUUUAAGAAGUUUGAAUAAGCCACACAAAUCAAUGGAAGAUAAGUAGGAACCCAGAGAAAUCUGCUUUCUAUCAAAAAUCCCUAAAAACAAUAAUGUAACAUGGUUUGGGUGAAAUGAGAUCAAAGUAUUCCUUUCCAUAACUGAACAGACAUGCCCACAAAACAGAACCCACCAUAACAGAGGUCCUUUUCUCGGGAAAUUCAGGAUAGGUAUAGAUGGCGAUUCUGGCAAAGAUACCAAAAAGCAGAUCCUAAAGAUACGGAUAAAACCAGGAAGAGAGAAAACUGCAGGAAGAUGGUCAAGACACAAACAUCCAGGUAUAUUAGGCUAUUGUCUUUCUCCAUUUUUCUACUUUUAUGGAGGUACUUGAAAUUGCAAUGAAUAAAUAAA